AGGAUUUCGAGACUUGGUGCCGACCCCAGAGGCUCCGGCCGAGAUGCAGCUUUCCGGCUGCGGGUGCAGGGUUGGGGGGAGCGAGCCGCGAGAGCGCGGCGGCCAGCCUUCAAGGGCUUCAAGUCGCGUUCUUCGUGGCGACGAGCUCCGGGCCGGCCCAGCCCCACCAAGCACUGGGCAACUGCCUUCGGAAGCAGGGGGCAAAGAGUCCAAGUCUUCGUUCCACCGACCCGGGUGUGGAAGCCAAUCGAACAAUGUGCAUGAGGACCUUCCUCCGCGGAUGCACACUCGAACGACUGGGGAGGCUUUUCACUCGCUCAAAACACUCCCAGCUUCCUUCUUCCAAAGUAACCACGCUGCGAAAAUCCAGAUGCCGGGAGUAAGAUUUUGUGCCUGAAAAUGUGAUGCCACUGUUGCCAGCUGUAGCUUCUCCGUUUUAGACAUUUUUACAGCUCUAAGAUGCCCCUGAAGGCAGAUACAGAGGUACCCUGCUCUUAAGGAUAUCUUGGAAAUUCAAGCUGGAAGGAAACCAGGCCCAGAUUGUCAAAGGGGCUUGCUUAAAGUUGUGCAGAGGAGGUU